GAUGAACGCUAGCGGCAGGCUUAAUACAUGCAAGUCGAGGGACAGCACAGGUAGCAAUACUGGGUGGUAACCGGCAAACGGGUGCGGAACACGUACACAACCUUCCUCUAAGUGGGGGAUAGCCCAGAGAAAUUUGGAUUAAUACCCCGUAAUAUAGUUGAAUGGCAUCAUUUGAUUAUUAUAGCUACGGCGCUUAAUGAUGGGUGUGCGGCUGAUUAGAUAGUUGGAGGGGUAACGGCCCACCAAGUCUACGAUCAGUAGCUGAUGUGAGAGCAUGAUCAGCCACACGGGCACUGAGACACGGGCCCGACUCCUACGGGAGGCAGCAGUAAGGAAUAUUGGUCAAUGGACGCAAGUCUGAACCAGCCAUGCCGCGUGAAGGAUUAAGGUCCUCUGGAUUGUAAACUUCUUUUAUUUGGGACGAAAAAGGGUCUUUCUAGAUCAACUGACGGUACCAGAUGAAUAAGCACCGGCUAACUCCGUGCCAGCCGCCGCCGUAAUAC
rnacentral:rRNA from 1 species